rnacentral:lncRNA from 1 species
CCUCUGUUGUCGAAAAUUUGUAAUAACAAUCCAGCGGACUAUAAUUCUGGAGGCGAUCCCUGACUUCUUUGCUUGUUCGUCCAUUUUUAAGAAGUAAGACGAAUGUCAGGUGAAAUCAUCAGCUUAUCCUUUUGUAUUGUUCGUGCUGCUGAAUCUUAAGAUCUAUGCUUUUUUCUUUGAAUUGUUCUUUUUCUCUGGUUUGGACUGUGUGGUGUAUUCUCUUCUUAGUUUUCUGUUGUGUUUUUAUACUGAUUUUUGUUUGUUUGUUUUUUCCCCUUUUUAGCAUGGCGUUCUUUUGUUGUUACACCACUGACUUUUCCCAUUCUGUAUAUAUGUGCCUGUUAUUCAGUGGUUGUCAUUUGUUGCUGUGUUACAUGCGUUUUUCGUUCAUUUUUUGUACAUACAUUAGGCUGGUAGUUUUCUCGUUUGAAUUAUUUUACAUUUGUCAUUUCAGGGCCUUUCAAAGCCGACUACGAUGCCCUUUAGUUUGUAAAAUCUGUUUCAUUUGGUAUCGUGUGAAGGGAUGUCUCAUUGGCAAUCAUACCACAUCUCUUUUGUUGUAUUGUCAGUUUAUUUCCGACUUAUGAGUUUGAAUGUCCCUCUAGUAUCUUAUGUCUCUCUUUAACAUUCAUCUGUAGACUCUCUCUGAUUUUUG